rnacentral:lncRNA from 1 species
UCAGUUUCCCCUCGGCCGUCCCCGUCUUCGCGCGUCCCCUCGACCCGCUCCGCCCCCGACUGCUUCGACUCACCCAGGAAGAUGCUUUCUUGAAAUAAAAGGUUCUAUAAACAGAAAUAAAAGAGGAAGAGAGAAUGGACGAAGUGCCGAUAAAGUAAA